ensembl:lncRNA
AUGGAUACUGACUGUAAAAUGGCAAUCAUAGGAGGAGGGUUCAGUGUGGUGAAAGAAGAUGGAAUAGACGUGUGCCAGUGCACCAGCCUUGGUGAAGCCUUCAUAACAGCCUUCUGUAUGUAUUUUGCUUUCAACAUUGCAUAUCCAACACACCUGAGAAAGACACUGACUUUCCUUCAGAGGCACAUUCUCAACAUUAGAAGAUGGAGACAAGCACUGCCACUACUGUGGUCUUGGAAAGAAAGGGGUCUUCACAGCUUUCUAUUCAGAAAAAGAGUUUGCUGGAUUCUGUUCUAUGAACUUCUACUACAGAAUGAAUGAAUGAGUGGUCUAUCUGUCUAUCUAUCUAUCUAUCUAUCUAUCUAUCUUUUUACUUGCAUUGGUGACUGAAACAAAGCUAAAUAAAUGUUUUAGUGGAUAAAGCUGUGUCUGUUUG